AAAGGGCUGUAACUUUUUUUGUGUACACUUUUGUACUAAGACUUACAACAGAUGGAGCGGGCCUUCAAUUUUUGGCAGGCUCCAAAAUAAUGGCACCCUCAGCUCGGUGUAUCAGCACAAUUUCUUUAAAAAAAUUGUGAGCAUAAAAAUCUUUUGGUGAGAGCAAAAGUACAAAUUACAUUAACAAGUUAGCUUGUAAGUUUUUAGUUUUAAGGUAUUAUCAAAGAUUAGAUACGAUAGUGUCCACAGUUUUUUUAUUGAUUGUACACUUUUCACGGAUUGUUGUACGACUCUUUUUCUUUUCUUAGUAUAGGAUAAGUAUAGGCCAGUGAUGACGUACUAAUAAAUGUAGAGUUUUGGUUUCUGUGUAGUUUUUUGUAUCAUCCAAAGAAAUACAAAAGGAUUAUGAUAUAUAGCCCAUUAAGAUAGUGUUUUUAACAAUAUGUCACUUACAUUUUGACGUCAUGCACAAAUGUUUGAGGUUAGGUCUAAAUUUUGAUGCCAUAAGACCAACUUUGUCUUCUGGCAACAAAAUAUAUAACUUGACUUGAAUGUAAAAUAAUUUCUGAUAAAUAAUAAAGGUUCAAACAGUUGAAAAAUGCUAUAUUUGAACCAAUCAACAUUUUUUCGUCAAUUCCUUGACCUAACCUUAAAAAAAUUGACAGCAUUACGUCUUAGUCAAGUUGCUUAUUGACGUACAUAACCUUAAUCUCACUUUUUUGCUAACACGUUAGACGAGAGGUUUAUUCUCUGCAAAUAAUUACACAGAUAACUAUAUAGAAAUCUCAAUAUUUCUUCUCUGUGUAUUAAAUUUAUUUUAUUGUAUUGUACUUAUUGUACUAAUUGUUUCUAGUUAAAAAAUUUUACAGUUUUCUUUUUUCUGUGUAUUUAAAAAUUGAUUUUGGUUAUUCAGUGUAGUCCUUGUAUAUAUGAAUGGUUUCUAAAUUCUAAUUGGCAAAAAAAUUAAGUUUUUUGUACCUGUACCUCAAAGUACAAUUUAUUAAAAUAUAUUGUUGUAUUUAAAUUAAUAAGUAGCUGUGUUUAUAUUCGAUUCUUGUCUUUCUUACUUUUACUCCCAAAAGACUACAAAUUUUUUCCCUUUAAGUAUUCUUUUGGGUACGAAAAAAGCAGAAUUCACUUGAAGCUAGAUCUGGAGAAUACGAUGGAUGCUAAAACAGUUCUAAGUGAAAUUCGUGUAUUUUCACCGUAGUUACGAUCUGGUACAAUCUGUCAAGGUAAUAGAUGAGCAAAAUACAUUGUGGUUGUCAAAAAAAUGGCGACCACAACUGUGCCAGCUGAUAUUUGCAUCAUUGAGUGGUUUUUAAUUUGCUGCUGUAACUCAGCUGACUGUGUGUCAUUUAUUUCACAUGUCUACGCAAAAACCCCCGUUUAUUGGUCGGAAACAGUUGCAAACAAAUGCCGGAAUGGUCUGAGCGUUAUUUUUGGUCGACUGCGCAAACGCGGUAAAUUGUGACAGAUGACAUAUGAAGUAGAUUUGUUAGUAGAUCCGCCGGCGCCGAUUGCCUGUCAAGCUUAAGUUAUAUUGAUUUGUCUGCAUAUAAACAGAAUGAUAAGUUUAGCCUGUCUUGUUUCGCAUGUCACUGUUCAAAUUGCAGGCAAUAAAUUUCAUUCAUUACUUUGUUUUUUUAUGGUAUAUUUUGCAUAUAAACACAGCUAUACUUAUAUACAAUAAUUAAAAUGAUUAUGUCGUAAAUGAUUUUCGAUAAACCCAGUUGUUAUUCUAAAAUGAAGUUGUUUUCGUCAUGUUUUUAUGAUAAAGAUAAAAAUUAAUUAUAUUUUAAGUAGAAAAUAACGAAUUUUUAAUGUAUAGUUGGUCUAAAUGUUAACCUUUCCCUAACUCGUUCAUAAUUUCUUGUCGUUUGUCGUUGAAGAUAACACAAAAAGUUUUAUAAACACAGAAAAUCCGUCAAAAUAUUAUUUUAUUCAUCUGUUUGGACACAAAUAAAUUGCCGUCAAUAAAUAUAUCACUUCCUUUACUGUACAUACAGGACAAUAACAUCCUUAUCGGUAAAUUAGGCCUGGAUCCCGCGUACCAAAAAAAA
rnacentral:lncRNA from 1 species